rnacentral:rRNA from 1 species
AACGAACGCUGGCGGCAGGCCUAACACAUGCAAGUCGAACGCCGUAGCAAUACGGAGUGGCAGACGGGUGAGUAACACGUGGGAACGUACCCUUCGGUUCGGGAGUAACUACAGGGAAACGUUAGAGCUAAUACCGGAUACGUCCGAGAGGAGAAAGAUUAUCGCCGAAAGAUCGGCCCGCGUCUGAUUAGCUAGUUGGUGUGGUAACGGCGCACCAAGGCGACGAUCAGUAGCUGGUC